ensembl:lncRNA
AGAAAUUGCUGACUUCCCAUUUCGGAUGGAAGAAGCUACUGAUCUGCACUGCUACUGUUUGUGAAUUGUUAAAUACGCUGCACUCUGAGAACUUGGUCUUGUACUGCAGAGUUCAACAUAUCGAGGGUGUCUUUAAGUUAUUUAGAUUCAUGUACCCAAAUACUGUUGAUCAGAUAGACAAGUAGCAUUUUCCUUGUGUGGUCAUGAAACAGUCGCCCAAAACUACUCAAGGAUGCACUUACAUGUUCACAUGAAACAGAUGUGUUGGCAACAUCAAAACAGUCACAGUGAUUAACAGCAGCUGAUUUUGCAAAGGAAGGAUAAACUAUACAAGAGAACAAAACCAUGACAGCUGAACCUGGACAGGACAUCACUUUGACAUGUCGAGCUCCAAACAACAACAACAUUGUUGUUCUAGAGUGGAGCAGAGCUGACCUGGGAGAGAAAUAUGUGCUUCUGUUCCGGGAUGAGCUGUUUGAUUUAGAACAACAGCAUCCAUCUUUUAAGAACCGGGUGGAGCUGCAGGACAGACAGAUGAAGGAUGGAGACGUGUCUUUGAUUCUGAAGGAUGUGACGACUAAUGACACUGGAACAUACGAGUGUCGUGUUGUCCAGAGAGGAACUAAACGCAGGAAGAGAGCUGUUUUGAAAAAUGACCCCAUCAGCAUCGUCACCUUGAAAGUUGAUCCUCUAGGUCAGACAGGAGGAGACACAGAGGAUGGAGGGAAGAAUGGAUCUGCUGGACUGAUUGUCGGUCUGAGUGUUCCUGCUGUGCUUCUUGUUGCUGUUGUUGGUUUUUUGAUCUACAGAAAACAUAAACAACCACAGAGGCAGGAUUCAUACCAGCCUCCUGUUGAACUGCAGCCUGUUUGAAAUGUCAGCUUAACUGUGAUUCUUGUGCUUUGUUUUCAGUCGUGUCACUGAAAAUGUGGAAAGACAGAAGUCAGUAAUAUUAAACAUUUAGCAGGUAUCUGUCAGACAGGUCCAGAUUUUGCAUUUAAUUUACAUUUUUCAUCAGAAAAGAGGAGAAAGUUGUUUGGAAUAUAAACAGUAUUUGUCUGAUAUGACUCAGGAUCCUUUGAUCACAUGUUGCUGGUGUUUGACUCGUUUUAAAUGUAAUUAUAUUCAAAUGAAACCAAAGAAAAAAACAUUUCUAUGUAGCUGCAGAGUCCAACAUUUCCUCCCUUUGACCUGAAACGAUUCAGCUUUAUUGAACUUUACCUUCCAUGAAGGAGACUCUUCAGUCUGUUACUGUCCAGUUGUUACUUUCCUUUAAAUAUUUUCCUGACAAAGAUCCACAUGUGUUAGUACUUAAUGUGUAUGUUUUUUUUAUACCAACAUUUCCUGUGGCUGUACUUUUUUUGUUCUGUUUUCAAUCAGAAGCUCUGACUUCCUGAAACUGUUGAUGCAGAUUUUGUCACCUU